CCUCCCUGAAGCCACUGACCUGUGGGCCCAGCCCCGUGGGAACCUGCGCCCGGAGGCGGGGGCCAGCCCUGCUGCCCGCCUCGCGCCUGUCUCAUUCCUCUGGGGCGUGAUUGGGUGCACCUGGGGUGGCAUCUCGGGUUAUAGAUUUGGCUACAAUGGCAAUCAGUAACAAAGACCCCAUGACCACUCUCCUACAAUGUGACUUUUUAUUUGGGGGCAAAAUAAUGUCACCCGUUUGUCUGUAGACCCACACUCUCCGGAUCGCUCACCCUCCGACAAGCUCACAGAGGUCGGUGCAUUUGCACUCCCAGAGGCAAAUCAAGAAGUAAUUAUAGAAGAAGUUUUCUAGCGCCUCACACCGUCACACCUCCGACAGGAGCUGUGAAACGGCAAGAAACAGUUGCCCCAGCUGUGUCUGCAAACCGACUGCACCGGAAGCAGAGACCAGACGGUCCGCACUUGUCCCUGGACACGAGCCAUGGCCAGGUCUAGAUGAUCUGUCUGUGCUUUAAAGCGCACGGAAAAGAAACAAGAGAAAGAUGGAGAGGAGAAAGGGGAGCUGUUCAAAUUCCAAACAUCUGGCAAAGAGCCCAGCUGCAGCUCACCCUACCCUCAGAGGAUGAUACUGAAAGUAACCCCGUCUCGGAAGUUCAUGGAAUUAACAAAGAGGGAGGGGAAGGGGCAGGGACAUUGAUGUAUAUUGAAGGCUUCAUUUAUUCCAGGCUGUGGGCUGGGGAUCUAGCGUACCACAAACUCAUUAACCUUGGUGACAACCCUAUCACCAUCACUUCAGCUGCAUUAUCUACUGCAGCUUAGCAAACCACCCUGAGCCUCAGCGGCUCCCAGUUCUGUGGGUGGACCGUGCUCAGCUGGGCAGUUCUCGCCUGGGACCUCUCAUGUGGUCGCUGUCAGAUGGCAGCUGGGGUUGGAGUCCUCCGAAUGCUCACCUGGGCUGGACACCACGAUGGCUUCUUCGCGCACACGACUGCAUUUCGGCUGGAACGCCAGGACAGCUGGCACUAGCCAGCCUCUCCCUCUAUCUGGCCUCUCCAGUAGCAGCUCAGGUGCCUUCAUAGCAUGGCGGGCGACUUCCCGUAGACCUCUUUCCAGAAGGACAGACCCUGGUGUGGUCUGCAGCUUCCCAACACCUGGUCCAUUGCUCCUGUGCCUUUCGUGGUAGGUUGGAGAGGACCGACGGACUGGUAAGGAAAGGGUGGCUGCCUGUGAUGCGGAUUGCAAAGGAGCAGGAAACAGGAAGUGUGCCCCCUUCAUCUGUUUGUAAUCAUCUUUUUCAAUUUUAAAAAAUUUAAAAGAACCGUGAUUUGGA